rnacentral:misc_RNA from 1 species
GAUGAAGAACGCAGCGAAAUGCGAUAAGUAAUGUGAAUUGCAGAAUUCAGUGAAUCAUCGGAUCUUUGAACGCACAUUGCGCCCGCCAGUAUUCUGGCGGGCAUGCCUGUUCGAGCGUCAUUUCAACCAUCAAGCCCUGCUUGCGUUGGGGUCCUGCGGCUGCCCGCAGGCCCUGAAAACCAGUGGCGGGCUCGCUAGUCACACCGAGCGCAGUAAUACAUCUCGCUUUGGGCGUGCGGCGGGUUCUUGCCGUUAAACACCCCCUUUUUACCAAGGUUGACCUCGGAUCAGGUAGGAAUACCCGCUGAACUUAAGCAUAUCAAUAAGCGGAGGA